rnacentral:rRNA from 1 species
GUGGGGUGAUGGCCUACCAAGGCGACGACGGGUAGCCGGCCUGAGAGGGCGACCGGCCACACUGGGACUGAGACACGGCCCAGACUCCUACGGGAGGCAGCAGUGGGGAAUAUUGCACAAUGGGCGGAAGCCUGAUGCAGCGACGCCGCGUGAGGGAUGACGGCCUUCGGGUUGUAAACCUCUUUCAGCAGGGACGAAGCGUGAGUGACGGUACCUGCAGAAGAAGCGCCGGCCAACUACGUGCCAGCAGCCGCGGUAAGACGUAGGGCGCGAGCGUUGUCCGGAUUUAUUGGGCGUAAAGAGCUCGUAGGCGGCUUGUCGCGUCGGCUGUGAAAACCCGUGGCUCAACUGCGGGCUUGCAGCCGAUACGGGCAGGCUAGAGUUCGGUAGGGGAGACUGGAAUUCCUGGUGUAGCGGUGAAAUGCGCAGAUAUCAGGAGGAACACCGGUGGCGAAGGCGGGUCUCUGGGCCGAUACUGACGCUGAGGAGCGAAAGCGUGGGGAGUGAACAGGAUUAGAUACCCUGGUAGUCCACGCUGUAAACGUUGGGCGCUAGGUGUGGGGGGCCUCUCCGGCUCUCUGUGCCGCAGCUAACGCAUUAAGCG